GCUGCGUGACGCUAGUUUCCGAUUUGUUGUGAUGGAUUGUGUCGCGACACGUGUUUGUUGUGGCGGGUUGAUCGAAGAAUGAGAUCUAUAAGAUUGAACCGCUGAAGAAAGAUCUGGAGUAUGCUGUCAAGAUUGGCAGGAAAUCAGCGCAAUGCGAGUGGGCACCUCCCCAUUCUGAGUGUGCUGAGUGGCUGGAAAUCCCAGCUGUGACUGCUGCGGGAGCAUGACUGCUGUCGGCUUGAACUGCACACCGUGGAUGCCUGGGCUAGAUUUGGAGCUAUGCCAGUAUUUGGCUGAGGCUUCGAAGUGUUGGGGCCUUGGAAGAUGUGACGCAGCCGUGUGAGGGACGGCCGGCCAUCCUUGAAAUCGACGAGAUCUUUCAGCUGGAUAUAGAAGACGCUAACAUACAUAAUUUGGAGCUAUGCCAGUAUUUGGCUGAGGCUUCGAAGUGUUGGGGCCUUGGAAGAUGUGACGCAGCCGUGUGAGGGACGGCCGGCCAUCCUUGAAAUCGACGAGAUCUUUCAGCUGGAUAUAGAAGACGCUAACAUACAUAGUAGGUGAAGGCACGAGAAAUACGCUUCUCCUAUGACAGAGGCGCCUUUUCCCUUUCUGUUUUUCAUUAGCGCUUUCACACGAAAGUGAAAUAGUUUUGUGCUAUUUGUUAAAAAUGGCCAAAAACUGAACGCAAGGUCAUGUAGGUCAUAGUAGUCUUCUAGCCCAGUGAGAGUGCGUGCGAGACUGAGGGCUGUUGCCAAAUCAUAAUCAAGACAGAGCGCGGAGCGACUGUCCGCGUCUAUCGAGUGCGUCUCUUGCAAAUGGGCUAAAGGUCUGUGCAUGUACAUGUGAAGCUGCUCUGCGGUCGGCGCGAUUGGUUAUAAAUAAAUUGACUUGCAUUCAA